GACGAACGCUGGCGGCGUGCUUAACACAUGCAAGUCGAACGAUGAAGUUCCUUCGGGAAUGGAUUAGUGGCGAAAGGGUGAGGAACACGUGAGAAACCUGCCUUUCAUUUUGGGAUAACUCCGGGAAACCGGGGCUAAAACCGAAUACUCCGUCUCGGCGGCAUCGCUGAGCCGGGAAAAAAUUUUGAUGAAAGAUGGUCUCGCGGCCUAUCAGCUAGUUGGUGAGGUAAUGGCUCACCAAGGCAACGACGGGUAGCCGGCCUGAGAGGGCGACCGGCCACGCUGGGACUGUGACACGGCCCGGACUCCUACGGGAGGCAGCAGUGGGAAAUAUUGGGCAAUGGGCGCAAGCCUGACCCAGCGACGCCGCGUGAGGGAUGAAGGCCUUCGGGUUGUAAACCUCUUUCAGUAGGGAAGAAGCGAAAGUGACGGUACCUAAAGAAGAAGCACCGGCUAACUAUGUGCCAGCAGCCGCGGUAA
rnacentral:rRNA from 1 species